GGCGAAAUAAGUAGAGCUUAACCUAGCUUAAUCACACAGUCAUCAUCAAAUCUUGACUCAUUUUGCUUUGUUGCUGCAUUCUUUCAUUUCUAGGCUUUAUUUGGGAAAUCCCAGAAUAUUUGUCGACUUUUCUUGAAUUAAUUUGAGCAAAAAACUUGUGGGGUUGGUAGAAAAUGGCUGGUUGUUCAUCAGGUAUCAGGUCAUCUCAGUUUACAUCUCUGAAAAAUGAAAUCUUUAUCAUGGGGUCCAUAAAAGACUCUAACUUUACGUUUGUUAAGAGACAAGAUUUUGUGGGUAUGAGGAAAAUCGGUUAUUUGGUUUGUCAGGAGAAUUACAAGUCAAGAUUUUUGGUUAAGAGUUCAUUGAAUCCAGAGGGUAAAUCAAUAUCUGGUGUUAGUGUAGAGACAGUACUCAAAGAGAAUGAUACUUAUUCUGUUGGGAAAGAUGUAAGUAUUCUUGAUGCUGAUAAUGGUGGUGAUGGGGAGGGAGAUUUAGCUGUUGGGAAUGGUGGAAACGGG
rnacentral:misc_RNA from 1 species